rnacentral:rRNA from 1 species
UAAAGCGUACGUAGGCGGUUUACUAAGUCAGAUGUGAAAGCCCCGGGNUUNNCCUGGGAACUGCAUUUGAUACUGGUAGGCUAGAGUAUGGUAGAGGGGGGUAGAAUUCAUAGUGUAGCGGUGAAAUGCGUAGAUAUUAUGAGGAAUACCAGUGGCGAAGGCGGCCCCCUGGACCAAUACUGACGCUGAGGUACGAAAGCGUGGGUAGCGAACAGGAUUAGAUACCCUGGUAGUCCACGCCGUAAACGAUGUCAACUNGCCGUUGGGACCUUGAGGUCUCAGUGGUGCAGCUAACGCGUGAAGUUGACCGCCUGGGGAGUACGGCCGCAAGGCUAAAACUCAAAUNAAUUGACGGGGGCCCGCACAAGCGGUGGAGCAUGUGGUUUAAUUCGAUGCAACGCGAAGAACCUUACCUACCCUUGACAUUGACAGAAUCCAGUAGAGAUACAGGAGUGCCUUCGGGCCUGGAAAACAGGUGCUGCAUGGCUGUCGUCAGCUCGUGUCGUGAGAUGUUGGGUUAAGUCCCGCAACGAGCGCAACCCUUAUCCUUAGUUGCCAGC